rnacentral:rRNA from 1 species
AGGAUUAACGCUGGCGGCGUGCCUAACACAUGCAAGUCGAACGAGGUAGCAAUACCUAGUGGCAGACGGGUGAGUAACGCGUGGUCAACCUACCGUUGAGUGGGGGAUAACUAGCCGAAAGGUUAGCUAAUACCGCAUACGAGUCUCGGGGGCAUCCCUGGGCCUUAAAAGGAGCAAUCCGCUCGAUGACGGGACCGCGUCCCAUUAGCUAGAUGGUGGGGUAAUGGCCUACCAUGGCUCCGAUGGGUAGCUGGUUUGAGAGAGCGACCAGCCACACUGGGACUGAGAAACGGCCCAGACUCCUACGGGAGGCAGCAGUGAGGAAUUUUCCGCAAUGGGCGAAAGCCUGACGGAGCGACGCCGCGUGUGGGAAGAAGGCCUUCGGGUCGUAAACAACUGUCGAAGGGGACGAUAAUGACGGUACCCUUGGAGGAAGCCCCGGCUAACUACGUGCCAGCAGCCGC